CAGAGGUCCCGAGCGUUGUUCGGAUUUAUUGGGCGUAAAGGGUGCGUAGGCGGCGGAGUAAGUUGGGUGUGAAAUCCCGGGGCUCAACCUCGGAAUUGCAUUCAAUACUGCUUCGCUCGAGUACUGGAGAGGAGGCUGGAAUUUACGGUGUAGCAGUGAAAUGCGUAGAUAUCGUAAGGAAGGCCGGUGGCGAAAGCGAGCCUCUGGACAGUUACUGACGCUGAUGCACGAAGGCCAGGGGAGCAAACGGGAUUAGAUACCCCGGUAGUCCUGGCAGUAAACGGUGCGCGUUUGGUGUGGGGGGAUUCGACAAUCUCCGCGCCGGAGCUAACGCGUUAAACGCGCCGCCUGGGAAAUACGGUCGCAAGAUUA
rnacentral:rRNA from 1 species